AUUGAACGCUGGCGGCAGGCUUAACACAUGCAAGUCGAGCGGAGAUGAGGUGCUUGCACCUUAUCUUAGCGGCGGACGGGUGAGUAAUGCUUAGGAAUCUGCCUAUUAGUGGGGGACAACAUUCCGAAAGGAAUGCUAAUACCGCAUACGUCCUACGGGAGAAAGCAGGGGAUCUGCGGACCUUGCGCUAAUAGAUGAGCCUAAGUCGGAUUAGCUAGUUGGUGGGGUAAAGGCCUACCAAGGCGACGAUCUGUAGCGGGUCUGAGAGGAUGAUCCGCCACACUGGGACUGAGACACGGCCCAGACUCCUACGGGAGGCAGCAGUGGGGAAUAUUGGACAAUGGGGGGAACCCUGAUCCAGCCAUGUCGCGUGUGUGAAGAAGGCCUUAUGGUUGUAAAGCACUUUAAGCGAGGAGGAGGCUACUGAGACUAAUACUCUUGGAUAGUGGACGUUACUCGCAGAAUAAGCACCGGCUAACUCUGUGCCAGCAGCCGCGGUAACAC
rnacentral:rRNA from 1 species